rnacentral:rRNA from 1 species
UACGUAGGGUGCAAGCGUUAAUCGGAAUUACUGGGCGUAAAGCGUGCGCAGGCGGUGAUGUAAGACAGAUGUGAAAUCCCCGGGCUCAACCUGGGAACUGCAUUUGUGACUGCAUCGCUGGAGUGCGGAAGAGGGGGAUGGAAUUCCGCGUGUAGCAGUGAAAUGCGUAGAUAUGCGGAGGAACACCGAUGGCGAAGGCAAUCCCCUGGGCCUGCACUGACGCUCAUGCGCGAAAGCGUGGGGAGCAAACAGG